CAAGGCAGUUAUUAUUAUCAGUUCAUAGGUGAAGAAACUGAGGUUCAGAAUCUUCCCCAAAUAACAAAAUUAGUAAAGGGUCUACCUGUGAUUUGAAAUCAGAUCUAGUUGAAUUAAAAACUCAGACUUUUCCUUCAUUUAUAACAAAAAGUGCCAACGAAGAAAAAUCUCUCACACAAAUCUUGGAAGGGAAACAUUCAGCAACAUAACUGCCUAUGGUCCCACUUACAGUUUUCACCACAAAUGCGGAAAUGUUCUUUUUUCUUCUUCUUCUCGUGGUCAUGUUUUAUAGCACUUAACAACAGUUGCAGUUGAUAAGUUAAGCCAAGGUCUCAGGACAGGGUCUUGCUCAAGGUGUCGGAAUCCCACUAAUGCUGUGUUCCAGCUACGAUUUUAAUCAAAGAAUUCUAUUCAGGACACCACAUUACAUUUAAUUGUGAUGUUUCCUUAGGCUUCUUUGGCUAUGACAGUUUCUCAAACUAAACUUUUUUUGAUGACCGUGACAACUUUGUGGAGAAUUGAUGAGCAAGAAGGCCCGUGCUAGAUGCUGGCACUUUGAUGUUGGACUUCCCAGCAUCCAGAACUGACCAAUCAGAGAAAGCCAAUAUGCAUCCCUAAUCCAACACAUAGGAUGCCCUGCUUCCAGUAGCCCACUUACAGCUUCUGCAUGCCGCAGCCUGCAACCAGAGCAUCCCUGAAGCCUUUCCUGUUUUCCAUUGUGAAGAUUCCCACUCUCCUGCCUACUGUGAGUGUCUGCCAAAUGCAAGUGAUGGUGGUUACCUGCCAUCUGUGGCCAA
rnacentral:lncRNA from 1 species